UACGUAGGGGGCAAGCGUUGUCCGGAAUUAUUGGGCGUAAAGAGCGCGUAGGCGGUCCGAUAAGUCGGCUGUGAAAGUCAAGGGCUCAACCCUUGAAAGCCGGCCGAUACUGUCGGACUAGAGUCCGGAAGAGGCGAGUGGAAUUCCCGGUGUAGCGGUGAAAUGCGCAGAUAUCGGGAGGAACACCAAUGGCGAAGGCAGCUCGCUGGGACGGUACUGACGCUGAGGCGCGAAAGCCAGGGGAGCAAACGGG
rnacentral:rRNA from 1 species